UGUGGAAGCUCUUUGGAAACCAAGAAACACUCUGAAAAUGAAAAGGCAUAAGAAUGUUUAUCACAGCAUGGCAUAUAUUGGAAGUUUAGUAAAUGAAGAUACAUCCAAUCUGACAUUCUAUUCACAACCACAAAGAGAUAAUGUAGAAACAUAUUUAGUAAUGUGAGAAAAUACUAAAUAUUAAGUGAAAAAGGUGGAAGAGUAAACUGUUCCUGUUUCUCCAUCUUGACAGGAAGCAGAAGUUCUCCUUAGCUGAUUUUUCUUCUUGCCUUAUACUGGGUUCUUUAACACCAGAACAAAAAUAAAUAAAUAAAAGAAUCUUCCAGAAAUUCAUGAAGAGACUUCAGGUCAGGAAAGCCUGAACUUUCUCAUCCAACACCCGUUCAAGUCGGAGGAUGCUGAUUAAUUCAUGAUGGAAAGGUAUCAAUUUCACAGCCCAGACCUCUACAUUCUUGAAAUGCUCUUCUCAUGGGAGACAUUAAAUAAGCUUUGAAUUAACUGAGACCUCUGUGGAUUCUAUAACUCAAAGACCCAGGCUGACGGCUGGUGGAAUAGCUACCAUCUCAAACAUGGCGUGAUGCUGCAUCAGAGAGAAAAAUAAGCUCUUGCAUUGACAAUGAAAUGUCUACCCUGUAGUGACUUGUGCUUACUUCCACUCACAAGUGAUUGCCCAGAGCUACUUACCUGGCUCCAAUCUACCACUGGGUCAGACGUUUGCUGAAUUCAGUUCUGAGCUUUUGAACCAAAAGCAGAUCUUCAGAACAAGAAACAAGAUAAUAAAA
rnacentral:lncRNA from 10 species